rnacentral:rRNA from 1 species
GCUCCAAUAGCGUAUAUUAAUGUUGUUGCAGUUAAAAAGCUCGUAGUUGAAUUUCUGGUCUCAACUUUCGGUCCGAGGCCUUCGUGCCUUGUGUACUGUUUCUGUUGAGACCAUCUUAGUGGUGAACGUAUCUGGCAUUAAGUUGUCGGGUGCUUUAACCGCUUCGUUUACUGUGAAUAAAAUAGAGUGUUUAAAGCAGG